rnacentral:rRNA from 1 species
CCUACGGGCGGCAGCAGUGAGGAAUAUUGGUCAAUGGGCGCGAGCCUGAACCAGCCAAGUCGCGUGAGGGAUGACGUUCCUACGGAUUGUAAACCUCUUUUGCCGGGGAGCAAGCGUGCGUUCGUGAACGCGCGUCGAGAGUACCCGGAGAACAAGCAUCGGCUAACUCCGUGCCAGCAGCCGCGGUAAUACGGAGGAUGCGAGCGUUAUCCGGAUUUAUGGGGUUUAAAGGGUGCGUAGGCGGGAUGCCAAGUCAGCGGUAAAAAUGCGGUGCUCAACGCCGUCGAGCCGUUGAAACUGGCGAUCUUGAGUGGGCGAGAAGUAUGCGGAAUGCGUGGUGUAGCGGUGAAAUGCAUAGAUAUCACGCAGAACUCCGAUUGCGAAGGCAGCAUACCGGCGCCCUACUGACGCUGAGGCACGAAAGCGUGGGGAUCGAACAGGAUUAGAUACCCUUGUAGUC